rnacentral:rRNA from 1 species
UACGUAGGGAGCAAGCGUUGUCCGGAAUCAUGGGGCGUAAAGCGCGCGUAGGUGGCCUCGUAAGUCCGCUGUGAAAGUCAAAGGCUCAACCUUUGAAAGCCGGUGGAUACUGUGAGGCUAGAGUACGGAAGAGGCGAGUGGAAUUCCUGGUGUAGCGGUGGAAUGCGCAGAUAUCAGGAGGAACACCAAUAGCGAAGGCAGCUCGCUGGGACGUUACUGACACUGAGGCGCGAAAGCGUGGGGAGCGAACAGG